UAAGGUAUAGUUAAUCUGCCCUACACAAGAGGACAACAGUUGGAAACGACUGCUAAUACUCUAUACUCCUGCUUAACACAAGUUGAGUAGGGAAAGUUUUUCGGUGUAGGAUGAGACUAUAUAGUAUCAGCUAGUUGGUAAGGUAAUGGCUUACCAAGGCUAUGACGCUUAACUGGUCUGAGAGGAUGAUCAGUCACACUGGAACUGAGACACGGUCCAGACUCCUACGGGAGGCAGCAGUAGGGAAUAUUGCGCAAUGGGGGAAACCCUGACGCAGCAACGCCGCGUGGAGGAUGACACUUUUCGGAGCGUAAACUCCUUUUCUUAGGGAAGAAUUCUGACGGUACCUAAGGAAUAAGCACCGGCUAACUCCGUGCCAGCAGCCGCGGUAAUACGGAGGGUGCAAGCGUUACUCGGAAUCACUGGGCGUAAAGGGCGCGUAGGCGGAUUAUCAAGUCUCUUGUGAAAUCUAAUGGCUUAACCAUUAAACUGCUUGGGAAACUGAUAGUCUAGAGUGAGGGAGAGGCAGAUGGAAUUGGUGGUGUAGGGGUAAAAUCCGUAGAUAUCACCAAGAAUACCCAUUGCGAAGGCGAUCUGCUGGAACUCAACUGACGCUAAGGCGCGAAAGCGUGGGGAGCAAACAGGAUUAGAUACCCUGGUAGUCCACGCCCUAAACGAUGUACACUAGUUGUUGGGGUGCUAGUCAUCUCAGUAAUGCAGCUAACGCAUUAAGUGUACCGCCUGGGGAGUACGGUCGCAAGAUUAAAACUCAAAGGAAUAGACGGGGACCCGCACAAGCGGUGGAGCAUGUGGUUUAAUUCGAAGAUACGCGAAGAACCUUACCUGGGCUUGAUAUCCUAAGAACCUUUUAGAGAUAAGAGGGUGCUAGCUUGCUAGAACUUAGAGACAGGUGCUGCACGGCUGUCGUCAGCUCGUGUCGUGAGAUGUUGGGUUAAGUCCCGCAACGAGCGCAACCCACGUAUUUAGUUGCUAACGGUUCGGCCGAGCACUCUAAAUAGACUGCCUUCGUAAGGAGGAGGAAGGUGUGGACGACGUCAAGUCAUCAUGGCCCUUAUGCCCAGGGCGACACACGUGCUACAAUGGCAUAUACAAUGAGACGCAAUACCGCGAGGUGGAGCAAAUCUAUAAAAUAUGUCCCAGUUCGGAUUGUUCUCUGCAACUCGAGAGCAUGAAGCCGGAAUCGCUAGUAAUCGUAGAUCAGCCAUGCUACGGUGAAUACGUUCCCGGGUCUUGUACUCACCGCCCGUCACACCAUGGGAGUUGAUUUCACUCGAAGCCGGAAUACUAAACUAGUUACCGUCCACAGUGGAAUCAGCGACUGGG
rnacentral:rRNA from 1 species